UACGGAGGAUCCGAGCGUUAUCCGGAUUUAUUGGGUUUAAAGGGUGCGUAGGUGGUUUAAUAAGUCAGCGGUGAAAGUUUGCAGCUUAACUGUAAAAAUGCCGUUGAAACUGUUAGACUUGAGUGUAAAUGAGGUAGGCGGAAUGCGUGGUGUAGCGGUGAAAUGCUUAGAUAUCACGCAGAACUCCGAUUGCGAAGGCAGCUUACCAAGCUACAACUGACACUGAAGCACGAAAGCGUGGGGAUCAAACAGG
rnacentral:rRNA from 2 species